AUUGAACGCUGGCGGAAUGCUUUACACAUGCAAGUCGAACGGCAGCACGGACUUCGGUCUGGUGGCGAGUGGCGAACGGGUGAGUAAUAUAUCGGAACGUGCCCAGUCGUGGGGGAUAACGUAGUGAAAAUUACGCUAAUACCGCAUACGAUCUACGGAUGAAGGCGGGGGAUCGCAAGACCUCGCGCGGUUGGAGCGGCCGAUAUCAGAUUAGGUAGUUGGUGAGGUAAAGGCUCACCAAGCCAACGAUCUGUAGCUGGUCUGAGAGGACGACCAGCCACACUGGAACUGAGACACGGUCCAGACUCCUACGGGAGGCAGCAGUGGGGAAUUUUGGACAAUGGACGCAAGUCUGAUCCAGCCAUUCCGCGUGCAGGACGAAGGCCUUCGGGUUGUAAACUGCUUUUGUACAGAACGAAAAGGUCUCUAUUAAUACUAGGGGCUCAUGACGGUACUGUAAGAAUAAGCACCGGCUAACUACGUG
rnacentral:rRNA from 1 species